UGUUAUGGCGAUUCUAUACUUAUAUGACAGUCUCGUUGUUUUUGAAGUUCAAGGAUAUAUUUUUGGUAUAUAAAUAUGUGACUUGAAGCAAUUCGUCAAUUCAUACAAGAAACAAACAUCAACCAUGUUCUACAAAUUGUUUGCCCUGUUCGCUGUUGUGGCUGUGACUUUCGCAGCACCGCGACCAAAUCCAUCACCCCAGCUUCUGGCUUAUACGUCGGACUAUUUGUACCCAGCUGCCGGCGUGCCAUCCUAUGUGUCCCCGUACUCAGCUCCACUCGCUCCUCUCACUUACUCAGCUUACCCUUACGCCGCAAACACAGUAUUUGUUAAAUGAUAAGCUCAUCAAUCAACUAUGAUUCUGUUUUGUCCUGUAAUCAAACUAACACCCGGCUAUUCUUUCUGGUUAAAUAAAUAAUCAUGUUAUAAAUAAAUUGUUUCAUUUUACACGAU